rnacentral:rRNA from 1 species
CCCUUGGGUUCGGAAUAACAGUGAGAAAUUACUGCUAAUACCGGAUGAUGACUUCGGUCCAAAGAUUUAUCGCCCAAGGAUGAGCCCGCGUAAGAUUAGCUAGUUGGUGAGGUAAAGGCUCACCAAGGCGACGAUCUUUAGCUGGUCUGAGAGGAUGAUCAGCCACACUGGGACUGAGACACGGCCCAGACUCCUACGGGAGGCAGCAGUGGGGAAUAUUGGACAAUGGGCGAAAGCCUGAUCCAGCAAUGCCGCGUGAGUGAUGAAGGCCUUAGGGUUGUAAAGCUCUUUUACCAGGGAUGAUAAUGACAGUACCUGGAGAAUAAGCUCCGGCUAACUCCGUGCCAGCAGCCGCGGUAAUACGGAGGGAGCUAGCGUUGUUCGGAAUUACUGGGCGUAAAGCGCACGUAGGCGGCUAUUCAAGUCAGAGGUGAAAGCCCGGGGCUCAACCC